rnacentral:SRP_RNA from 1 species
GCCAGGCAAGGUGGCACUUGCCAGUAGUCCCAGCCACUCAGGAGGCUGAGGUGGGAGGAUCUCUUGAGCCCAGGAGUUCUGAGCUAUCGUGUGUUUGACGUCAACAUGGUGACCUCCCGAGAGCAAGGGACCACAAGAUUGCCUAAGGAGGGGUGAACUAGCCCAGGUCAGAGACAGCAGGUCAAAACUCCUCUGCUGAUCAGUAAUGGGAUCAUGCCUGUGAAUAACCACUGCACUCUGGCCUGGGCAACAUAAAGGAAACCCUGUCUAU